AAUGGAGAAGAGCAAAGUGCAAUCUAAAGUCCCCUCCCAGCUACCUUGUGUCUUUGCGCUAUGCUUCUGUUCCUAUUGGUUGGAGUGCAUAGACGGGAAGCAACUGAGUGGUCUGACUGACGCUUCUAGGGCUUCAGUAUUUCAGAGCAGGCUUAAGAGAAGAGAGAUGUUCAGUGUGUGCUAAUAAACUGAUAUUUUCUGUUGGUGAUUAAGCCAGGAAAGAAGGGAAGAAAAACACUGUUUUGUAUAUAGGAACCAACUAAGAGAUCUCUGGAGUUCCAUAUUUCACAUCUGACAUUAUGAUUAAAUUAUUCACUGUCACUUUGGCUGCUAUAGGAUAUGAAAAAUUUGCGUGGAAAGGUGUAAUAGAACUGCUUAGAACUGGAAUGUUCAUAAUUGGAAUUUACUAUUGCAGGAAAAUAGACAAUAAACUGGCCAUCCUGGGACCAGUAUCCUGUGUUUUUUUUCCACAUCCUGAGUUCCUCAGUGCUCAUCAUAAGGAGUGGCUGCAGCCUGGGGGCUGCCAGAUUGCACAGAUAUUCUUCUCCUUCCUGAGCAUCCUGGAGGGCUGGAAUUGCUGGCAACUCUGACUUCCUUCUCACUCCUGUAUUCUUGCCUGGGAAAUCCCAUGGACAGAGGAGCCUGGCAGACUAUAAUCCAUGGGUUCACAAAUGAGUCAGACACAACUUAGCAACUAAACAGCAACAGCAGCAACAGACCAUACAGUAAGACCCCAAGUGAUGUCAGGUAAAUCAAAAACAAAAGGAUAACCACGAGUAGUAUCAUUCCUGAAAUUUUUCCUCAGGUCAGUGAGAUCACUCCUUUUCCUCUUUUAAUUUUCGACCAAUAUUCUCAGAACAAAAGGAAGUUACCAGUCAUAUUGGUACAUAUGUGUAUGCCUGCACAUAUGUUGUGUGACCUUCAGAAAAAAAUUGGUAAAUUUUUCUUACCACUGAUAUUCCAAGCCCUCACUAAACUAUCCUUUCUCAACAGUUUGAAUAUUUCCUGUCCUUUUAACCUUAAACUAUUUCUGCACGGACACCUACUCUAACUUCCCAAAUUAUUUGCUUAGGAACUUCACUAAUAUUCUCUUCAUUUAUGUUACCCUAUACCUGAUUCUUUCCCAAUGCUUCCUUUGCCUAUUCCUAUGUUCCUUCCCUAUAAAUACUGUUGCAUUCUAUCAUUUAGAGUUUUGCCCGUUUCGUUAUGUUUUGUGAGGUGAAGGAGGUAAGACUGAUCAGAACAUGGUUUACAUUCUAUAUUUGUUUUCUGGAGCACUCCCAUUCCACUUGGAACCUCUGUUAUGUUUUCAAAGAACAGGGGCCAUUAAUAUGCCAUGGAUACCUCUUCAAACCUUAUGAGACAAAACAAGACUCCAAAGUUAUUGAGUGAAGUUUCUACUGCUCUUGUCCUUUCAAAGACUGUGUGAAUUCAUUGGUCCAGUGUGGGCUCUAAGCUCACACCCAUGAUGGUGUUUUUUUAUCCCAGAAGAAAUCCUGUCCUACCUCCUCCCCUGCUAUCAUUUCUGGUCUUGUUUCUUUAGCACAAGGGUUGAAUGAAAGUAAAAAAAAAAAAAAGUCUCCUUUGACUUCUGGGAAGGGCACUGAACCUUCUCUGAAAAUGAUGCCAGUUCUCAGAAAAUGUGGGUCAGGCUGAGACACAGUGGGAAGGAUGGAAGUUUUUCAAAUGUCUGUCCUUUUCCUUUCCUGGUAUUACACCUUCAGUUUGAAUUAAUUCUCACUUCUCAAAAACUGAGAAGAAAAAAAAUCCCAAUUCCCCUUGUAUUUCCCUGUGAACCUAGUUAAAGAUAGAUCUUUUCUUGUACCAUUGUCUUCAAGUUCAUUUAGGCAUUCAUUGAUAGAAACACACAUAAAACAAGGUGAUAUAUUAUUUGGCCAAUGAAGAUAAUGUGAACAAAAGAAACUAGGAAAAUAAUUCAAUGUUUUCUACUAGAAGCAGUGGCUAAAGAUUCUUGAUUCAGUGUUUAUGACUAACAUUCAAUUGAGAUACAACAAAACUAAGAUUUGGA
ensembl:lncRNA